rnacentral:rRNA from 1 species
CAGUAGCCGCGGUAAUACGGAGGGAGCCAGCGUUGUUCGGAAUUACUGGGCGUAAAGCGCACGUAGGCGGCUUUGUAAGUUAGAGGUGAAAGCCUGGGGCUCAACUCCAGAAUUGCCUUUAAGACUGCAUCGCUUGAACGUCGGAGAGGUGAGUGGAAUUCCGAGUGUAGAGGUGAAAUUCGUAGAUAUUCGGAGGAACACCGAUGGCGUGGGCAGCCCCCUGGGCCAACACUGACGCUCAUGCACGAAAGCGUGGGGAGCAAACAGGAUUAGAUACCCCCGUAGUCCCUGUCUCUUAUAC